rnacentral:lncRNA from 1 species
UUAAAAGAAUUGAACCCAUAUACAAAAGAAAAUUGAAAAAGAAAGCUACAUGGGGUGCCUGCUGGUUUUCUUUCUCUUUUGUUAUGAAUAACUAGUGCACCAUUUUCUAAAGAGGUGAAAGAAUCAUAAGAAGAAGAAGCAUUAAUAUUGAUGUUAUUUUUUAACAUGGGGUUAGAAUUUUUGUUGACUAGCAAAGCAAUACGACAAACUGGUGGUGAUGCAGGAAUAGUGGCCUUUGUUUUUCAGCUUUACUGAUAAAAGAACGAAAUGG